rnacentral:rRNA from 1 species
CACACCGCCCGUCACACCACGAAAGUCGGCUGCACCAGAAGUCGCUGGGCCAACCCGCAAGGGAGGCAGGCGCCAAAGGUGUGGUCGGUGAUUGGGGUG